AAGCAGGAUUCAUACUUAAAUAUGGCUACUAAGUGCUGUGUUGUUGUUUCCCCCUGCUCAAAAUAAGGCAGUUUCUUAACUAUACCUGUCUGCUGUACUCCUGUAGCAGCCAGGGAUGCUUGGUCUCAAACAU